rnacentral:rRNA from 1 species
UACGGAGGGUGCAAGCGUUAUCCGGAUUCACUGGGUUUAAAGGGUGCGUAGGCGGCUUGAUAAGUCAUUGGUGAAAGCUCGCAGCUUAACUGCGAAACUGCCAUUGAAACUGUCAAGCUUGAAUGUGGUUGAAGUGGGCGGAAUACAACAUGUAGCGGUGAAAUGCUUAGAUAUGUUUUAGAACACCGAUUGCGAAGGCAGCUCACUAAGCCAAUAUUGACGCUGAGGCACGAAAGCGUGGGUAGCGAACAGG